rnacentral:lncRNA from 1 species
UCAUGCUGGUACAAAGUUCCUUCAGCUCCUACAAAACUCAGUCAUCCCACAACUUCCAAAAUCUAUGGAUCCCAAGCAGCAGAGAGGGUGCAGCCACAGUGCAUGGAUCAGCUGUGUGUGCAAUGGAGUUAACCUCAUUUCCAGCCCCGCAGGAGGAGAUGAGGACAAACCAACAGCUCUGCUGUGAUGACAGCGACUAGAGAACAUAAAACCUUUCUCCAAAAGCAGUCUCCGUCUCUGAAAGGAAGCCCAGUCCUGCAGGGAGUGCUUCAACCCCUCUGAGGAGUGUGCAGCCUUGGGACAGUCUGUAAAAGGAGCUCACAGAAAGCUUCUCUGUGUCCCAAAAAAUCAUCUUUGGCCAGAGCAGCAUUGUACCUCAUCCUGGCUGAGGGGAGAGGGCUCAGCAAUGAAGAAGAUGCAUAAAAAGUUAAAAAUUCAUCUGGACAUAAUUUUUUUCCAAAUUCGUAACAAAACGUGUUUUGCAUGGAUAUUUGCUUUCACAGCAUUGAAGGACAUUUGUGCCAAAUAAGAUGGGUGAGCACAACCUUCAUCUUCUGCAUUCACAUGGUUUGCAUCACAGGACUUUUAACUGGACACUGUCCUGGCAUUUCACAUUCCAGCCCAACAACAGUCUGCAGGUUCUGACCAACGUGCUCUAUAAAAAAAAGUAAUUUACUGGAAAAGGACAGUAAACAGCUCAUAAAAAGUGUCUCUCAGCAUCAGCUGCAGACAGGAAUUCCUCCCAGGAGCCCCUCUUGUUCCCUUUGUUGGAGCUGAUAGGGACGUGCUGCAUCAAAGGGAAUUCAUAGCUGUGACACAGCUUAAAAACAGAAGAAAAUAAUACUCUUGUGGAAAAAAAAAGGGUUCUCUAGUGGGCUGGGCACAGGCAGAAUUAGAAAACAGGCUGUGUUGUCCUCAAGCAAGGGCAUUCCAUGUCCUCCUGCUUCUGCAGCAGGCACUGACAGUCUUUUUAAGAGUGGCAGAUGAGAGCAGUGAGGCCCUCGAC